AUCUAUCUACCCUAUUAAUUCAUCAACAUUUUCUAUGCUGAACUCAUCCAAAAAAACAACCCCGUUGAGAAGCCCUUAAUAUAUCCACCCACAAAACUAUACCAGAAAAACUCUCACCUUUAAAACAAACUGUGUAAAUUUUAUUCUAACCCUUUUCUCUUCUUCAUCCCUCGUGUCUCCCUCGCCCGCGCCGAGCCAGCACCCCUGCACCGCGCGACGCUCGGGUAGCCAGGGUUUCGAUUCCCACUCUGCGUCGAUGGCCAAGAAAAUGUCAUCGACUCCACCUUGCAUGUGGGCUUCUUCCCCGACGCCGCUGCGGCCUUCGCCGUGUGCCACCGGCGUCGACACGACACCCGCAGUUUCACCUUCACCCGCACCAGCGCCGUGAUCCUGCCCUCAUCUCCUCUCCAUCCUACGCGAUGCCCCUCCCUCACCGAGAUCUGCUACGAACGGCGACAGCCGUCCAUGGCCCCAGGAGGAGGCGUGCACAUUUUUGGCGAUGGCGGUCCAUCUCAGUACCGUCCGCACCUACGUGAUGGAAGAUGCUAAUAAUUCAUUGCCUACUUGGGAACGCUUUCUACUGUCUGUGUGAUGAUACACUGCUCUCUGUUAGGUAAAUACAAGCCUCUCAGAUCUGUACAGAAUUGGUGAAAAGAAGUUAUGGAGUGAGAUGAAUCUUUUUACAACAUAUAUUUUGUAAGAUUCAUAUACUUGUCACUGCCCAGGUAAGAUGAUUCCAAAUGUUUGAUUAUUGAUUGAUAUAUUCAGUUUCAUUUUUUUAUUUUCUCAUUGCGCUAAGGUUGGGAAAGGGUCCAGUGCUAGAACCAGCUGCAGGUCUUUACAGUCAGGUUGUUUGGAUAUAGAUUGCUGUUAUGCCCAUUUAGGUUACGGUUGUUGGGCUUCAUCUGUUUUUAGCAUGUUGAUGAUGCCAAUGUGUCGCAUUCAAUUUCGGCACUACAAGGGAGACUACACGUAUGCAUGGAUGGUGGCUGCAGGCACAAGAGGCAGCAACAUGUUUGAGUCAACCUUAUUUUGUUUUCCUUCCAUGAGUUAAGCAAUUAAUAUGCCCAUAUUUCAUAACAUACUAUUUGCCAAUCACAGAAAAACAGUGAUUACUUCUGUUGAAUGAAUGGUUCUCUGAUGCAAUAGUUAUUUGAUAGGAUGGAGAGGGCACUAAAAUUAAUUGCAGGGUUUACUUUUCUUAGAGAAUCUUUCAUAUCAUAAAGUUAAAAUAAUAGAGCAGCUGCAUGAAAAGGUUUACUUUCUCUUCUAAUUGUUUCUGGAUCUUUCAACAUAGUUGAAAAUAUAUUUUUGUUAGUUAUGUGAACUUGAAUAUCGCAAUUAUAAGAUCACUCAGAGACAUAUUUACAGUGCUUUGACAGAGUCUGUUAACAAAGUAUUUGAUCAGUUAGAAUAUUACUGAUCAUUUGGAAUGUUUUAGGAUUGUUUUGCGAGUAUUUGAUCUGACAUGUGGUUUAAAUAAGGAUUUUGUUUGCAUUGCGUUGGUGCUGAGGAUUCAUACCCCAAACGAGAUAAUGCAGGCCGAGCUGUACGUACAGUUGGGGCUCACAGAUAGGCAGCUGCAGAUGUGCUUCUGCCAUUGCCGGCUCAAGGACUGCAAAAAUCUGCUCACCAAGAUUUAUCAGCCGGCUGAAGGACUACAGAUAUGGCAAACAUAAAUGUAUGCUUUCUUCUGUGUUAAGCUGCAGAUCUUUUAUGCUGGCUGAUAAGCUUUGCUGAAGUGCAAGAUAUAGUAUUGUUUAUAUUGAAUACUCUUGCCGAGCAUAAUAUUUUAUUUUAUUUACUAUUGAGUUAGUAAUAUAUGCUAUUAUUUGAUAUU